rnacentral:tRNA from 1 species
AACAUUACGCCGGAAGAACGGAUUACCCUGAUGAGGUAAAUUAUAGGGCCUAUGCUCCUUAAUGUUU